UUGCCUUAGUAACGGCGAGUGAAGCGGCAACAGCUCAAAUUUGAAAGCUGGCUCCUUUGGAGUCCGCGUUGUAAUUUGUAGAGGAUGAUUCGGCAAGGGCUCCCGCCUAAGUCUCCUGGAACGGAGCGUCAUAGAGGGUGAGAAUCCCGUAUGCGGUGGGCUGCCUAAGCCAUGUGAAUCUCCUUCGACGAGUCGAGUUGUUUGGGAAUGCAGCUCUAAAUGGGAGGUAAAUUUCUUCUAAAGCUAAAUACCGGCCAGAGACCGAUAGCGCACAAGUAGAGUGAUCGAAAGAUGAAAAGCACUUUGGAAAGAGAGUUAAAAAGUACGUGAAAUUGUUGAAAGGGAAGCGCUUGCAGCCAGACUUGUCCGCAGUUGCUCAGCCGGUCUCCUGACCGGUGUACUCUUCUGCGGCCAGGCCAGCAUCAGUUCGGGCGGUCGGAUAAAGACCUCGGGAAUGUAGCUCCUCUCGGGGAGUGUUAUAGCCCGGGGUGGAAUGCGGCCAGCCUGGACUGAGGAUCUCGCUUCGGCUAGGAUGCUGGCGUAAUGGCUGUAAGCGGCCCGUCUUGAAACACGGACCAAGGAGUCUAACAUCUAUGCGAGUGUUUGGGUGUCAAACCCAUGCGCGUAAUGAAAGUGAACGGAGGUGGGAACCCUCACGGGUGCACCAUCGACCGAUCCUGAUGUCUUCGGAUGGAUUUGAGUAAGAGCAUAGCUGUUGGGACCCGAAAGAUGGUGAACUAUGCCUGAAUAGGGUGAAGCCAGAGGAAACUCUGGUGGAGGCUCGCAGCGGUUCUGACGUGCAAAUCGAUCGUCAAAUUUGGGUAUAGGGGCGAAAGACUAAUCGAACCAUCUAGUAGCUGGUUCCUGCCG
rnacentral:rRNA from 1 species